rnacentral:lncRNA from 1 species
GUCACAGUGAGGCACGUGAGUUCCCUGUUCAGUGGCUGCGUCUCCUCCAGAGACAUAAGAAUCACACAGGCCUGCAGCAGCGGCGCCCGGCAGGGAACCCGCCGCGUGUCAGGCUUGGCCGCCUGACCGCCCUGCAGCCUCCCCCAGCGCACAGGCCUCCAGCUGCACACCAGGCCCUGCCAUCACCUGGCCCUGCCCUCCUCAGUCCUGCCUUCACCUGUCCUGUCCUCACCCAGCCAUGUCUCCUGGCCUGACCCUACCCUCGCCCAGCCCUGUCCUCCUCACCUGCCCUGUUCCUCACCCAGCCCUGAUCCCCUACUGGCCCAGCUUUUGCCAGGCCUUGUCCUGCUACCUGGCCCUACCCUCACCUGACCCUGUCUACCUUGGCGCUGUCCUCCUCACCUGCCAUGUCCUUCUUGGCCAGGUGUCCACCCUGCAGGUCUUCCCUCCAUUAGUCUCCCUGUUGUCUACAGGAGGUGACCUGGGCCUGUGUGGUGACUUGCAGGGGGUCAUCUGAUGCCAUCUCCAGGUAGCAACAGCCAGAUCUGAAUGUCAUCACAGAACACUAAUUGGGCAGGUGGCACAGAUUCCACCCCAGGGGAAACUAUGCUCCCCUGGAGGUGGGCAUCCCAGACCAUCCCCCUCCCUGUGAUGUGUGGCACUAGGCUCUGGACAAAGAGCUGGACCACAAAUGAGAGAAAGGAGACAACAGAGAGAGAGACCUUACACAGAUGGCAAGGGAUUGCAGAGGGAGGGCACAAGAGUGAAAGAAGAAGCCAUAAAGCAGCAGAGAGAAGCAGAUGGAGAAAUCUAGAAUCGCAAACUCCAGAGAGGCGAAGGACAGCCACACAGGGAUAUGGACAGAACAGGGGAGAGACCUCAAGCUAUCUAGAGAGAUGAAGGACAUAGGGAAAGAGACAGAAUCGGGGAGGGACCACAGGCAGAGCGUGGGAGCAGAGGACACAUUAUCUGCAGGCAUGGCAGAAGGCAGCUGUGGUGCUGGGAUAAGAAGAGGGGUAACAGGUGACAAGGGGAGCCCAGAGGAGCACCUUAGAGAGGAGGCCUCGGAAUGUGGGCAUCCAGAGCAUGGGAUGAGGGGGCUGCAGCAGGCAGGGCAGAUGGAGAGUGUGGAUGGGGAAGAAAGAGGCGGAAAUCUGUGGAGACUGGGGACAAAGACUGGGGAGAAAGACUGACUGGAGGUGAAGGGAGUUGCAGGAAUGUGGAAGAUCAGAUGGAGGGAAGGAAUAGAGGGAAGAAGGGGAGAAACCAGGAGAGGAGAGGGAAGCAAAGUGGGCAGGACACCCUCCAGGGUGGGUGCUAAAGGAGCACAGUAGAGGUGAGGAAAGAAAUUGCAAAACUACUGCCCAGGAGGCUUGUGUAUUUUAAAAUUCUAGAGGUAACAGGAUAGCUCCCUUAUCCAGCCUGAAGGCAGUGACUGAACUCAUUGUGUCCAGGGUACCCCUCCUUCCUCUCCUGAUUUGUGGUGUCAUGUAGGGAGUGUAGGAGAUAGAAAGGACAAUUAAAGUGUUUUUGCUUUUGUCAUGCUGAAUGCAACAGUGACCACUCAGCAGAGAGUUUUUCACCUCUGGUCAUGUAAAUGUGUGGCGAUUUCUCCCCACCAACAAAGGGUGUCUGAGCCACCUGCCCAAUUAGUGUUCUGUAAUGACAUUCAGAUCUGGCUGCUGCUACCUGGAGAUAGCAUCAGAUGACACAGAGCUUUCUCCUACAGCACUGCCCCACAUGGUGUGCCAGUCACCUUGAGAAGUUGGGACCCCCUGCUCACCAGCUUGAGGAUAACAUGGUACUUUUGUUUGCUUGCUUGUUACAAAUAAAGUGACACAGGUUACAGAGGUAUAGGCAGAUGAAAGAGCCAUGGUAAAGGUUAACUGAACCCUAGAAGGGUGUUUUGGGAACCCUGAGAUACCAGGGAGGAGUCUGGCAGAGAACUGGUCAUUAUUAAACAACCACAUAUGCAUUUUAGUGACUAGAGAGGUGGU